rnacentral:rRNA from 1 species
AGUGAACGCUGGCGGUAGGCCUAACACAUGCAAGUCGAACGGCAGCACAGUAAGAGCUUGCUCUUACGGGUGGCGAGUGGCGGACGGGUGAGGAAUACAUCGGAAUCUACUUUUUCGUGGGGGAUAACGUAGGGAAACUUACGCUAAUACCGCAUACGACCUACGGGUGAAAGCAGGGGAUCUUCGGACCUUGCGCGAUUGAAUGAGCCGAUGUCGGAUUAGCUAGUUGGCGGGGUAAAGGCCCACCAAGGCGACGAUCCGUAGCUGGUCUGAGAGGGUGAUCAGCCACACUGGAACUGAGACACGGUCCAGACUCCUACGGGAGGCAGCAGUGGGGAAUAUUGGACAAUGGGCGCAAGCCUGAUCCAGCCAUACCGCGUGGGUGAAGAAGGCCUUCGGGUUGUAAAGCCCUUUUGUUGGGAAAGAAAAGCAGCAGGUUAAUACCCCGCUGUUCUGACGGUACCCAAAGAAUAAGUACCGGCUAACUUCGUG